CCUACGGGAGGCAGCAGUGAGGGAUAUUGCGCAAUGGGCGAAAGCCUGACGCAGCGACGCCGCGUGGGCGAGGAAGGCCUUCGGGUUGUAAAGCCCUUUUGGCAGGGAAGAGCAAGGACUGUACCUGCAGAACAAGUCACGGCUAACUACGUGCCAGCAGCCGCGGUAAAACGUAGGUGGCGAGCGUUGUCCGGAUUUACUGGGUGUAAAGGGUGCUCAGGCGGGUCUGUAAGUCAGGGGUGAAAUCCCAGAGCUUAACUCGGGAACUGCCUUUGAUACUGCAGAUCACGAGUUUGGGAGAGGCGAGUGGAAUAUCUGGUGUAGCAGUGAAAUGCGUAGAUAUCAGAUAGAACACCAAUGGCGAAGGCGGCUCGCUGGCCCAAUACUGACGCUAAAGCACGAAAGCGUGGGGAGCAAACAGGAUUAGAUACCCGGGUAGU
rnacentral:rRNA from 1 species